AGUAUGACAGCUGUCGACACUUCCUCUUCUAGUGGUUUUCAAUUUCAAUGGGUGCUGUUCGGAAUAUUCAAAUAUUCAUAUGAAGUUAAUACAUAAAAUAAGUUAGUAGGAUGUACUGAGAAAAACGUAUACAGCGACCUGAAACUUGAGUAGCACGGAAUGCUGGGGUGUACUCUAUUUGAAACGUUUCAGAAUUCGUAAAUGGGAUGAAUGAAGGAGACCUACUCAGAAGAUCAGCUGAAGAGCGAGAGAAAAUAUUUCUUCGAUAUGAACAAGGCAGAGAGGGGGCAGAAAUUGAUCCGUGGGAAGACCCUGGCUUUGAGGUAUACCACGCAACAGAUCGGUAUGGUUUUAUUCAUGACAAACGAUUACCAUCCAAAGUGGACCCGCAGGAAGCAAAAAAGCUCCAAAUAGAAGUCGAACGUCAAAAAAAGUGGCUCAAAAUGCUCAAGAACUGGGAUAGUUCUGUUGUCAAAGAGAAGCUGCAUAAUCGUGUGUAUAAAGGCAUUCCAAAUUCUUUAAGAACUGAGGCGUGGUGUAAAUUAUUGCAAGUCGAAAAAUACAAGAAAGAAAACAGAGGCAAAUAUGGUGAAAUGAUGAAGUUGGCCAGAAAAUAUUCAACUGAUGCUAGACAAAUAGAUUCAGAUGUAAAUAGACAAUUUAGAGAGCAUUUGCAUUACAGAGAAAGGUACAGUAUCAAACAACAGUCGCUCUUCAAUGUCCUGACGGCCUAUGCAAUGUAUAAUUCAGAAGUUGGAUAUUGUCAAGGUAUGUCCGGUUUGGCUGGUGUGUUGCUCAUGUACAUGGACGAGGAAGAUGCAUUUUGGGCCGUACACAUCCUGUUAACUAGUCCAAAAUAUGCCAUGCAUGGACUGUACAAAGAGGGCUUCCCUAAACUAACCAGAUUUCUUGCCCAUCACGAUCGAAUUUUAAUGAAACUUUUGCCAAAAAUUAAAAAGCAUUUUGAUAAACACGGCCUAGAUGCGAUAUUAUAUUCUUUGAAGUGGUUUUUUGUCUGCUUUAUAGAGAGGGUUCCAUUUAAUUUGUGUCUGCGCAUUUGGGAUAUUUACCUUUUAGAUGGUGAGAAGGUUAUAACAGCAAUGGCUUAUACAAUACUCAAGUUACAUAAACGACAACUGUUGAAACUCAAUGAUAUGGAUUCAAUAGUUAAUUUCAUUCAGGUAAAAUUAUACAAAGACUUCUUGUACGAUGAAGACUCUGUUGUACGUCACCUCGAAACGUCAAUGGACGAAUUGAAGAGAUACAAGCUCGAUCUACCCGGUCCGCCAACCAAAGAUGAACUACCGAUUGGACCAUUCGGAGUUUUCAAAGAGCCCACCUUCGAACAAAUGGUCGGAAUAAGAAAAGAGGCGUUUACAGAGAAAGAAAAAGAAACCAAUGAGAUAGUGACACUGACCAGUGAAGCAGCGAAGGAGGCUGCCGAGAAAGAUAGGGAAUGUCAGCUAUCAGUAGGAGAUUCAGUCGGCCUCACAGAUGUAGAAAGCUCCUAUAUCCUUCCCGAUCCCAAAUCUCUCCGAAAAUCGUCUUUCUUGGGAAGAACGUUCACAAAGGAAAAUUGGACUAUUUCAAUGAAAAAGUCAUAGUGGAUGACGAACUGUGCAGCUUUUUUAAUGUCACUAUUUCAAGACUAACUUCACGUAGCUUUCUGUGGCAAUAUAACCUCAAAAGGUGAUGUGUAUAGUGAAUUCUAAGCUAAAUGGUUCUAAGUUUUCCUUCGAUCCCAGCAUAGAUGACGCAAGUUCCUUACUAGAAUGUGACCAUACAGGUUCGAGGCGCU
rnacentral:misc_RNA from 1 species